rnacentral:lncRNA from 1 species
UUUUGGUUUAAGAACUGACUCCUGGUUGAUCACACAGGGACCUUCUCCUGCAGGGAUUCUGAGAACCACAGAGUGAUUGUGUUUUGGAAGCAAACCCAGAGAGCUGUUUGAAGAACGGAGUCAUGUGGAGAGGGGAGACACUGGCUCCACUGAUUGAUUCUCAUCAAUUUUGGGGUGUUUGACUUUUGUGGCUCUGUUUGAAAGAGUCAAUGUGAAAAUGAAAAAUGCAUGGGCAACUCUGUUAACUGGCAACAAAGGCUCAGCAAAAGAAAUCCAAGAGGACAAACACACAGGAAAACUUGAAAAACCAAGACCAUCUGUUUCACACGGAAGAGCACAAUUACUUCAGUAUGUUUCUGGUCAGCAAGACGAGUUCGCUAAAGCCACCCUCACGCAGUGGGCUACUGAGCAUGCAAAUUAAUGGCAUUCUUCCUAUUAGGGUCCCCAGAUGUUUACACUGAUGGUUACUAGGAAUGUUAGUAAAAGUGGUCACACUGGAUUUCUUUAAAUACUUUUUCAAGAUAUUCUUCUAAUGCAGUUACCCAAAAUACAGUGCUUUACUAGUGUUAGUUGACUGUGGGAAAAGAAAUGUAUUUAAUGCAAAGAGCAGUGAACUAAGUUUAGGAACACUGGGCUCCUAACUGAUGUCUUGCCUCUGAAC